rnacentral:rRNA from 1 species
CAGCAGCCGCGGUAACACGGAGGGAGCUAGCGUUGUCCGGAAUUACUGGGCGUAAAGCGCACGUAGGCGGUUAUUCAAGUCAGAGGUGAAAGCCCGGGGCUCAACCCCGGAACUGCCUUUGAAACUAGAUGACUGGAAUCUUGGAGAGGUCAGUGGAAUUGCGAGUGUAGAGGUGAAAUUCGUAGAUAUUCGGAAGAACACCAGUGGCGAAGGCGACUGACUGGACAAGUAUUGACGCUGAGGUGCGAAAGCGUGGGGAGCAAACAGGAUUAGAUACCCGUGUAGUCCCUGUCUCUUAUAC